GGCGGAGUCCACUCAGGGAGGAGAGGACGCGAACGCUGUGGAAGAGGACACAGGGACCCCGUGCCGCCUGCCCGUCCCCACGGCUCAGAGCCAUUUAAGCAAAUCCAGAUGACAAGACGUGGGUCUCCCGGGAAAUGGAAGCCAAAGCUGCGAAAUAUUGCAGCGGAACCGACUCCUGGUUUGUCAUCAGAAUGAGUAACUGCCAGAGCCGGUGCUGUGGCAUAGCAGGUAAAGCUGCCGCCUGCUGUGCUGGCAUCCUGUUGGCGCAGGUUUGAGUCCCGGCUGCUCCACUUCCAGUCCAGCUCUCUGCUAUGGCCUGGGAAAGCCAUGGAUGAUGCCCCCCCUGCACCUGUGUGGGAGACUAGGAGGAGGCUCCUGGCAGCUUCAGAUCAGCUCAGCAAGUUGCUGCCAUCUGGGGAGUGAACCAGUGGGUGGAAGACCUCUCUCUCUCUCUGCCUUUGCCUCUCUGUAACUCUGCCUUUCAAAUAAACAAAUAAAUCUUUUUAAAAAUAUGUGAUUCUAUUAAAUUAUUUUUACUUCAUAUUUGAAAAGUUUAAGGUAGGGGUCUUGGGGGAAAAGAAGAUUUCUCACUCGCAAGAUUUUAUUGCUCACACACUCACUAUUUCUACCAUAAGCCUCUGUUCUCACCUGUGGUAUUCUCAUCCAGCUGGUUAUAUUGUUUAGUGAUUGAUAUAUUUGCUGUAAAGGAUGAUAUUUUAAAAUCAGGUUUUCUCGGCCUCUGCACUACAGACAUCUGAAGUCAGAUAAUUUUUGUUGGGGGGGGGUGGUUCCUGUAUAUGUAGGAUUUUAAAAGCACCUCCUGCCCUCUACCCACUAGAGCCCAGUAGCAGCCUCCCCUUGUAGCAACAGCCAAAGAUGUCUCCAGACAUGUCCAAGUGUCUCUUCCUUCCCUGUUGAAAUUUUGACUUACACUUUUUUCCUUGCAUCUCUGUUAUGAAUUUCCUCAAUAUUUUAAAUGUAUGAGCUUGGGUUGUUUUUUAAAAGAUUUAUUUUAUUUAGUUGGAAAGUGAGUGACAGAGGAAGAAGGAGAGAAAGGGAGAGAAGAGAUCUUCCAUCUACUGGUUCACUUCCCCAAUACCUAUAAUUACCAGGGCUUGACCAGGCUGAAGCCAGGAGCUAGGAUCCAGGGUCUCCUACGCGAGUGGCAAGGACCCAAGCACUUGAGCCAUCAUCUGCUGCUUUCCUAAGUGCAUUAACUGGAAGUUGGAGAGCAAGUGGACAAAGUGGGAUUCAAACCAGCACUCUGCUAUAAGAUGCUGGUGUCAUAGGCAGAAGCUUAACCUGCUAAGCCACAACAGUAGCCCUGCGUGUGGAAUUCUGACGUGUUGCCAAAUAAGACAGCUCUGAGUUCUGCUGAAAGCACCCAUCACUGACUUGGGUAUGAAGACAUGUCUGUCCUUCGAUACAUCUGAUCACUAGAGAAAAUCUCCUGGCUUGCCAAGGAAAUUUCCCCUAGCCCAGUCAUUCUAGCCAAAAAUUUAAAGAUCAAUCUUAGAAUUCCAUUCACUGUUUCUUCCAAGAAGCAAGUGAGUGUGUUUCCCUGGGCUGGGGUGGCCUCCUUCACAGAGUUCCUGGGGUGAUCACAUAAUCCAGGCUGCACUUUGAGCCUCACUGCCCUGGGGGAAACGUAGGUUUAUAGCGUGUGUACAGCUGGGUUUAGUCACUUAGAAUUUCCACCAAGCGCAAGUCUCUUCAA